UUAUUCAAAAUUUUUUUUCAGGUAUUUUCGGAGGAUUUUACGCCUAAAUUAGAUAUACCACUCGGUACACUGUAUCGUACCAUACCGAGCAAAGCUCAAAACUUUGAUACGAGACAAAAUUUCAAUCCUUGGUUGGUACCAUUUUGAAGUUCACAGUUUUUGCCUUUCUUCUAUAAAUUCUCCCUAGCUAGUUCAUAACAUAAGGUUUAAUAGUCUAAGUGUUUCUCUACUGCCUGCCACCUGUAAUCUUUCUGAAGAAUAUCCUGAAUGUUUUGAUUGAUGCUCCUUGAUACAGCAAUGAGACAUUAAACUUGUUGCAUAGCAUGUCUAUGCUAACUGUGCUGACUGAAUAAUUUGUAUUAAUGGGACAAGGAUGCUUACCUCUCCGCCAUAACUAAUGUUCUGUAUCAAGUACCAAAUUCUCAUGAAUAUAUAGUCAUAAUGGAGACACCACAUUGCAUUUUAUUCUUUGGUUCCGAAACUAUAGCCAAAAGUUAUUUAUUUUCAUCAAGGUUUUAAGUGCCAAUUCAGAUUAAUACGUAUGAGCAUUGAAACAUAUAUCAUAAUAGAUGUAUACAUACAAUUUAUUCUCUGUUUCUUUUAUUCAAUAAUAUUAGGCAAUAUGAGUUGGUAUAUUGGUACACUGGUCCAAUAGGUUAUGAAACCAGCAUCAACAUAAAACCUCUCAAUAGGGAACAAAAAACUAUUCUAUCAGCUUUUUUUCCUUCAAUUGUUUCUACUUAUAUAGCAUUGAAAGGCAUAGUAUUUUACUUGAAAAAGAAGAAACUCAUACCGGGUAGGUUUCCAGAAUUACUGUCUAUUCAAUAUUCCUAGCUUUAGUUGAAUAUAACAUAAUACUUGCAGUAUUUGUUUGUUGUGGAAAUAGUUGCAUGUCCACUACAAUUUAGAUGAAGCACUUUUAGCUUCCUUAUAUUUUCUCUCCAAUAUGUAAUUGUUCUAGUAUAUAAAAAAUGGUUUGACACUGUGUGAUAGUUUAUAUAUUUUAUUCUGUAUAAGGCUUCUAUUAUGAUGGGUAUUUUAUACCCAAACAUUAGACUUGGAAGUUCAGAAUUUGUGAUCACUGUCAUGAAGUAGCUGAAGAUACAUUUAACAGGGAAUGGGGAUGAAAUGAAUAGGUGUACUGUAUCUUAGUGGUCAGUUUCAAAUGAAGAGGUAGAUUAAUUCAUUUUUCCAUGAUAAUAAAUGCUAAACACCAGCAUGAUAUGUGAAAAAUCUACUCAAUAUCCAGGAUGUGAUUAAUUAGUUUUUUUAGUGCAGUACUACUUUUGAGUAUUUUGACUAUUGGUCAAGUCUCAUAGACAUUUUGGCUUCAACUGACUUGUCAUUACCUAGGACAUGAUUCAUGCAAAACACUGUACAUUAUCCAGGGCGGAAUGUGAAAAGUAUUACUCAUAAUACAAGACAUGACACCAAGAGAAUUUGUAGCAUUAACAUAGCCAUGGGUUGAAUUUUCAUGCAUGACUUUGUGUUAUCUGAUGGCUUGCAUGGUACAUGCCACAUGCAAAACAUGGUGAAUGGCUGUGUGUUGACAUAAAUAUUAAAAGAAAAUAAAAAGAAAGUGUAGGGACCAAAAAACCAUUAAAGAAAAAAAAUUUAAAGAAACCAAAAAGAGAAAAAAAGCUGAUUUUCUCAAUAUUAAAACAUAAGAUGAUUUAAAAUCAGAAAAAAAAUUGUCUCCAAGUUUUGGAUGGAUGACAAGGUUCUUGAUGGAAUUUAUUCCUUAGUGAUCAUUCAAUUACAUAGGAUUCAUUACUACAGCUCCUUAUCGACAGCAAAAAAGAUUGAGAGGGAAGAAGAUGAAGAAAGAAAUGACUAAGGAAUCAAUUAAGCAAAUAUGAAAUUUAUACAACUACACCUUUUCUAAAGAAAUGUGUGUUUUUUUAAUACAGAGGAGUGUUUUUUAUUAAAUGUAAAAUCCCUACUUUUAUUUCCAUUCUUUCUGCCUGAAAUCAUGCUUUUCAGCCAAAACACUGUUAAAAACCUGAUACUGUCCUUCUCCUGUUAUAAUCCUGAGAUCUUCUAUUGUCAUUUUUGGGUGUGAUCAUAACAUUAUUUUGUCUAUUUUCUCUUUAUACUACAAUAUCAGUAUAAGGAUUCCUUGUCAAGAAACAUUCUUUUGUCAACAAACAACAUUAUUCAGUGAAUCCUUCUAUUGUCAUUUCUGUUAUUCUGUUUCUUGUGGACUCCUUGAUGCAUGAGAUUUGUUGCCAAGUAACCCUUGUUUAUUGGUUGAACUGCGAAACAGCUUUCUCCUGCUGAUUCUGAUGUAUGUUUGAGGAGAUGUAGCUUUAGAACCUAAUGUUUAGAUUAGCGUAUGUGAUGCAUGUGUCUGUUAUUUUUAUUGGAUUUGUCUACUUCUCUACCUUGAGGCUGGUUGGCUGAACUCACCUUCUUAUCUUCUUUUCUAAAUGAAAUUACUUUGCAUUUGUGUAUACAUAAUCUCAUUCAAUGUGCUGUGAUAAAAUUGUGUUGAUAAACAUGAUUUUCUUCUAUUCAAGUAUUGUAACUAAUCUGAGUAUUGUUCCACAACCUUCAUCUUGGGUGGGGAUAAUUUAAGAGUGAUGUAGAUUCUGUCUGAAUGUAUGUACUGUCAGAAGAAAUUUAUUUUAUAGUAAAUAAAUUGUACUUGAUUGUUCAAAAGCUAAAGGGUCAUUACUGAGAAUUGUAAAACUGAGGAAAUUAUAAACAUGCUCAUUUAGUUCUAGUCGUAUGCCAUGUUUUUGUAAUAAUUUCUCCUUAGAUUUAAUUUACUUGGUAGUGAUUAUUUUCUAAUGCAUUAAGCUACUUACAUGUGGUUCACAAAUGGUCUGUCCUUUCUCUUUAAACAUUUUGAACCUAUAGUUGGGAACACCCACAUUCAGUUGAGUACAUCAUCAGAGUUUUUGUGCUCAAUGUUUUCUUUGUAGCAGAAUUUACAUCAUAACAUCAACCCUGAAUGUGCCUAUCUAGAGCACAAAAGUAUUUUGAAGUUGCAAAAUUAUAUUAGGCAAACUACAUAUACACCAACUUGAUCAAUUUACCUUUGAUGAUUUAGCAGGGAGAACUAUUUGUGUUAGACCUGAAUACUUUGUGAGGGUAAACGAGAGAUUAAAAUUGAUUUGUUUAUAAUUAAUUAUCAUGAUUUGUACUUGGUUACCAAAUUGGUUUACUGUAAAUAAAGUAAGAAUUCAGGUUAAAAAUGGAAUGUGAUUCCUAAUUAAUUUGACUUGGAGGAGUUUGGAAUUUUUACAUUUUUGGACAGGUAGGGUUAUCUAACUUAUAAAAUCGCUCUUGAAUCUCCUCUCAAGUCACCAGGGAGCGAGACUGACAACAGGGAAGAGGGAGUUGUCAGCAACAGCAAGGAGAGGAUGGUGUGGCAUCUUCAUUAGGGAGAAGGUAGGAUCUUUUCUUCUGUUGAUUUUCUCUUCUGUUAACUUUUGUUUGUCAUAUGUUUAAUUUAAGCAGAGAACCAUUACUCAUCACUCUUUAAAUCUUGGAAUUAUUCAUGCUUUCUCAUCACAAUCUUAGAUCUGUAUGAAAUCUAUUUUGUUCUAUUAUGGGUUUUGAUUAAAUAAAAUGAUGUAAUUAUUUAUAAGAAUAUGUUUUCUGGAAGGAAACUUUUCUUUUACUUUGGAUCUCAGUGAUUUACGGCGUAGGUAUUGUUUGACUGUGAGGCUAUCUUUCUUUAAGAUCCAAUUUUAUUUCCUCCUAUGUUCCUACUUGAGAGUAUGAUCGCUAACAUAUGCUAUGGUAAUUAUCAUUUGGGAAAAAGAUCAACUAAAGGUAGGAAAUAAGAAGACUAUAGGUGCUAGCAAAUUGAUUGUGCAUAAGAAAGAUUGGUUGCCAACCCUUCGAUGGUAUAUUGCAAACAAUGGAAAGGAAAGGUUAGAUUAAAAGAGAAAGAAAACAAGAAGAGCAUUGCUGUUGCAACUAGCCAUUGAGUGAGCCAACUGGGUUUUCAGCCCUGCAGGCUGACCUAUGAAGGGCUCAAUGACAACUGCUUGCAGCUAACCAACUGGCUUCCUUGGACUAAGUUUAUGACCACAUCAAAUUGUUACUUGAUACGAGGUCAAUCCAACAGAACAUGGAUUAGAUUAAUCCACCUCAAAGUAUAUCACCCAUCCCAGGGUUGCAGGCUACGAAGCCCGGUGGUCACAGAGUGAGUCCACCUGGCAUGCACAGGCCCACUAACAAGCAAGCUCUUCGGCCUGUAGGCUACAAAUGCUAACAGACUAAGGGGCCGGUAGCUGCAGUGGUCUCCCUAUCGCUUUUCUCCUUAGUUAUAGAAGUUGAUAAACAAAUUUAAUGGGAAGAAUAGAGAGUGAAGAGGUUCUCUAUCAUCUCUAAUGCUGAUGUUAUGAAAUAGGACCAUAGUUAAUUUAGCACCAUGGGUCACUUAGGAACAAUAAUAAGAAUGAAUUUGAGGAUUGUACAACAAUAACAACUUGAGAAACAUUUGCUUACAUUGAAGCAUAUAAUACCCCUAAUAUAAUGAGGUAAAACAUUUGGAACUAGGAAAACAAAGGUUAAUUGACUUCAAGAUUCAUAAAGGAAGUUUUUGUUUGUGUGAUAAUUGAGUAAUGAAAUGAGAGAAAGAAAGAAAAAGAUAAUAAUAAAAGGAAAAUAAAGUAAAAAAAAUUAUAACUGCUGAACCUUUCAUCUUCACAUCUCAUACAUUGGAACAAAACAUAUGGUGUGCUGUACCAUUUUAGUUAUUUUUGUUUGAAUAAAUUUGUUUAGUUUAGGGAUAUCUUACAAGGUUCUCAAUUUCAUUUAUUGGACCAGCAGUGGUCUAUGGCAGAUUGGUAUGGGUUCGGUCUGUCCAUGUGUUGGUCGGUCCAUCCAUGUGUUGGUACACUAGAAUGUAUCCUGAAUCAUUAGGAAGGGAGAGGGGAGGAAGAAGGAAGAAAGAAGAGAAUAAGGAAAGGUGAAAGUAGAAAAGGAAGAAGGAAGAAGAAAAGGAGGCAGCGACGGCGAGCAGCAAGCAGCAAGCAACUGUCGUGUGAAAUCAUCAUGAGCACGAGAAGGUUGUCACGUUACCUUAGAAAAUAUAUAUUAUAUAUAUAGAUGUAGAAAAUCCCAUGAUUAAGGGAUUCUGAGUCCUAUAAUUAAGGGAAUCUAUCCCCUAUUUUGGGCCACUUAAAUCAGUAUCAAAUCAGCUCAUAUUAUAGGAGAUGAAUUAGAAUGAAAUAUUGUACAGCAUCAAUUUCCUUAGUUGUACAUGUUGUAAUCAACCUAUAUAUGUCUUCCUUUGUAUAUAGAAAAAACUUAAUAAAUGAGAACAAAAUAUAUUUUCUUGUGUUCAAGGGAUCAGAGCCUGGUUCUUAUAGGAAAUAUUUUUCUUCUUUCUUUCAUCCUUAAUUGCUAGAAGUCUUUUCCUCUAUUCUGCCACUCUUCGGAUUAGCUCCAACUAUUUCUUCUUCCUUGUGAGGAACCUAUGCUAUUAUGUAUGGAGGAGAGAAUAUGAAACCAAUGCUUCCAUCUUCAACAAAUAGCUUAGGUGACAAUCCAUCCUUGCUUUUUACAAUGCAUAAACUCAAUGGACAGAACUUUUUUCAUUAGUCUCAGUCCAUAAAGUUACAUAUUCGAGGAAGAGAAAAGAUCGGCUAUUUGAACGAAUCAACAACGACACUUGCAGAGGAUGAUCCCAAGUUUUAGGUAUGGGAUUCUAAAAUUCCAUAAUCAUAUCAUGAUUGAUAAACUUUAUGGAAUUAGAAAUUGACCAAACAUAUAUGUUUUUACUAACAACAAAGGAGUUAUUGGAUGUUGUCGUCGAGACGUAUUCAAAUAUGGGAAAUUUAGCCUAAGUAUUUGAGAUUAUAAGCAAGAUCAAAGAGCUUAAACAAGAUAAUACUAGUGUUACAAAAUACUUGAAUACCUUAAAGACACUUUGGCAAGAGCUUGAUAUUUUUUAUGAUUUUGAGUGGCAUGUGUUGCUGAUAAUGCUUGAUACAUAAAAAUGCUUGAGAGGGAUCGAGCCUUUUAAUUUUUGGCAGGUUUAAAUAAAGAACUAGAUGAAGAUUGUGGACGGAUAUUGGUAAAGGAUCCAUUGCCAUCUCUCUAAGCUAUUUUCUCGGAAGUUAGGAGGGAGGAAAGUAGAAGACAUGAGAUCUUCUACUCCAUCUAUGGGUGCAAAAAAUUCUGCACUUAUUAUGACAAUUGAAAUUAAUUCUUCUGCUAAUGCUGUGCAAUGUAAUCAAAGGAAGGGGGAUGAUAAAAGCAAAGUAUGGUAUGAUUUUUACAAUAAACCAAGACACGAGAAACUUGUGUGAAGAUACAUUGAAAAUUAACAAACUAGAAGAACAAUCGAGUUCCAGAUAAGGCUAAUAGCGAAGGUUUUCAAGGAGAAUCAAUUUGCCACCACCUCUAAAGGAGCUGAAACGCCUCUGUUCAACAAGGAACAAAUUAAGCAACUGUUUAAAUUUCUGAACUAGUCCCAAAAUCCCAAUCCUUCUCCUUCAUCAUCUUGCUCGUUGGCCUAGAAAGAAUUUUUUCACUGCUUUGUUUGCUUCUUUUGGUCUUAAGGCUCCUUGGAUCGUAGAGUUAAGUGCAACAGACCAUCUGAGUAGCCUUUCACACUUGUUUUCCUCCUACACACCUUGUCCUGGAAACUCUAAAAUAAAAGUUGCUGAUGGAUCACUUUCUUCUAUAGCAAGAAAAGACAAUGCAAUUACAGAUUUUUUGUGUUAAAUUUUGUGCUUCAUGUUCUCAACUUAUCUCGUAACUUGUUGGCUGUUAGUAAACUCAUAAAGGAUUUGUAUUGUGUUACUAAAUUCUUUCCUUAGAACUGUGAAUUUCAGGGAAGACGAUUGGCAUUGCUAAAGAGAGUGAAGGACUUUAUUAUCUUGAAGAGGAUGCUACUUGAAAUGGACAAGUUCAAUUGACAAUAAAUAACACUCCUACUACUAGUAGUGAAAUAAUAUUGUGGCACUAUAAACUAGGCUACCCAAGCUUUCCUUAUUUGCAAAAGUUCUUACCUUUCUUGUUUAGGAACCAUGAUAGAUCUCUAUUUCAAUGUGAAAUUUGUCAAUUUGCUAAACAUCAUCAUACUGUUUUUUCUUCUUGGCCUUACAAAUAAUCCAAACCAUUUAGUCUUAUACAUAGUGACAUUUGGGGUCCUUCUAAAGUAACAAAUCUGUCUUGGAUCAAGUGGUUUAUAAUAUUCAUUGAUGACUAUACGAGUGUAUGUUGGGUUUACUUCUAAAAAGAAAAAUCUGAUGUUGAAAAAACUUUCAAGAACUUUCAUAACAUGAUCCAAAAUUAAUUCCAAGUAAAAAUCUACGCUUUGAGAACUGACAAUGGUAUAGAAUACUAUUCCUACUUGUUAAAGCAUAGAAUAAUUCACCAGUCUUCAUGUGUUAAUAGCUGCAAUAAAAUGGUAUUGCAGAAUGAAAAAAUAAACACGUACUCGAAGCAACACGCUCUCGUUUAUUUAUCACUUAUGUUCCUAAAUAUCUUUUUAUUUACCACUUAUGUUCCUAAAUAUCUUUGGGGAGAUGUGAUUCUUACUACUUCAUUAAUCAAAUGCCUGCCCAAAUAUUUAAUUUUUAAACACCUCUUGAUCGUUUAUCCUCUAUUUAUCCACAUGUGAAACUGAUUAACUCUCUUCCAUCAAAGGUAUUUCGAUGCAUUGUUUUUGUCCAUAUUCAUAACCAUGAUCAAAGUAAACUUGAACCUCAUGCAUUAAAGUGUGCUCCUCGACUUAAAAGGAUUACAAAAAGGUUACAAAUGUUAUGAUCCUGUAUCGAAAAAAAUAUUUGUUUUUGAGAAUUGUUUCUACCAAUCACUAUUUCUUUGUUAGAUUCAUCUCCUUUUACUCUACCAAACGUACAUAGCCAACAACUAACUAGUCCUAUUGAUACUCCUAAAUCCAAAUCUCCAACACCACGACCCCAAUCUUCAACUCAACAACAUGCUAUUGUACAGCCUAAUUUAGGGAGAGAUAUCACUAUGUAUCACUAUGAUUGCACCUGAGCUUUGUGCGUAUUCAAGAUAGUGAAAUCUAGAAAAGGUCGAUAUUCACCCUACUGAAUACUACCAAGAGUAUGAAUUGAUAGCAGAUUCAGACGUAGACACAGGUAACUCUAUUCUUUCGUCAGAUCUUGAUGUUUCCAUUGCCAUUAGGAAAGGAAUUAGAUCUUAUCCGAUGCAUUUUAUAUUUAAAUAUGUCUUAUCAUAGAUUGUCUCUAGUCUUUAAAGCUUUUGGAACUCACUUGACUAGUUUAGAAAUUCUAAAAAAUAUACAUGAUGUUUUAUUAAUUCCAGAAUGUAGAGAUGCAAUUAUGGAGGAGAUGAGAGCUCUUCAAAAGAAUGAUACUUGGAGUGUGGUGCAUCUGCCAAAAGGGAAGAAUCCAGUGAGAUGCAAAUGGGUGUUUACUGUUAAAUAUAAGACAGAUGGUUCUAUUGAAAGAUACAAAGUCAGAUUGGUUGUAAAAUGAUUUACUCAAAUAUAUGAUAUUGACUACCAAGAAACAUUUGCUCCGUUGCAAAACUAAAUACUAUUCAAGUAUUGUUAUCUCUUGCAGCUAAUUUUGAAUGGCCUUUACAUCAAUUAAAUGUGAAAAAUAUCUUUCUUAAUAGAGAAAUGGGGGAAGAAGUAUACAUGGAUCUAUCACCCGGCUUUGAGAAUUUGUAUGUUUGAAUAACAUGUGCAAGCUGUGAAGAUCUUUUUAUGGUCUCAAGCAAUCACCACGUGCAUGGUUUGAGAAGUUAAUAAAGUCAGUUCCUGGUGAUGGUUACACUCAAAGUCACUUCAACCAUCUAAUGUUUUAUAAACACUCAUAUAAGGGAGAUAUUGCUAUUAUUUUAGUUUAUGGGAAUGAGAUCAUCCUAAUAGGCAAUGAUGUCUUAGAAUUGGAGAAUUGAAGCAUAUCUUAGCUAAAGAGUUUGAAAUUAAAGAUCUUGGCCAACUAAGAUAUUUCUUGGGCAUGGAAAUAACGAGAUUAAAGAAUGAGAUUUUUGUUUCAUAAAGGAAAUACACUUUACACCUUCUAAAAGAAACAAGGAUGCUUGAUUGUAAACUUGUGGACACUCCAAUAGAUCUCAAUCAUAAAUUGGGAUGUCCUUCUCAAAGUGUCACGGCAUUUGCAAUAAGUAUAAUGAGUCAUUUAUGCAUUCACUAUAUGAAGUAUAUUUAGAGACAAUAUAUAGGAUUUUUAGAUAUAUGAAAAGGACUCCAGGCAAGGGAUUAUUAUUCAAAAAGGACAAUCAUAUGAGAAUUGAGGCCUUCACUAAUGCUGAUUGGGUAGGAGGAUUAGUAAGUGAUAGGAGAUCAACUUCAGGAUAUUGUAUGUCACAACCUGGGCUUGAUGGGCUAACUGGCCUAUCAACUUCUUUUGGCCCAAACCACUGGCCAAAAUAUUUAAGCUAAAAUUAAUAAUAAUAUACUCGUUAGACCCUUAUAAAUCAAUUUUAAUCUUGUUUACUUCCGAUGUGGGACUAAUCGGGUUAUUAUAUUGUACAUUUGUUAGAGGGAAUUUGGUGACUUGGAGGAAUAAGAAGCAAGCAGUUGUUGCUACAAGCAAUGCUAAAGUAGAAUUUUAGAGCAGUAGUAGAAGGUAUUUGUGAACUCUUAUGGCUAAAAAUGCUUCUAUAAGAAUUACAAAUAUCCACUGAAACUCCUAUGAGAUUAUAUUGUGACAAUAAGGUUGUUAUCAACAUUGCUCAUAAUCUAGUGCAUCAUGAUAGAACAGAGCAUGUUGAAGUAGAUCGACAUUUCAUAAAGGAGAAAAUUGAAGAAGGAAUUGUUUGCAUUCCUUAUAUUCUUACAGAGAAGCAAUUAGCAUAUAUUCUUACCAAAGGGCUAUAAAGAUUUUUUAUGAGGAUUUAUCUAGCAAGCUGGGAAUAAGUAAUAUCUUCAAGUCAACUUGAGAGGGAGUGUUGAAAAUCCUAUGAUUAAGGGAUUCUGAAUCCCAUAAUUAAGAGAUUUUAUAAUCCCAUAAUUAAGAAAAUCUGUCCCAAAUUUUGGGCCACUUCAUCAGUAUCAAAUCAGCCUAUAUUAUAGGAGAUGAAUUAGAAUGAAAUAUUGUACAGAAUCAAUUUUCUUAGUUGUACAUGUUAUAAUUAGCCUAUAUACGUCUUCUUUUGUAUAUAGAAAAGAUUAAUGAGUGAAAGAAAUUAUAUUCUUUUGUGUUCAAUAGACAUCUUUAAUCGAACAUUGAUCGAACCAUGUCAAAUUGGUCAAGCUUUCAAUCCUUGCUUACAAUUAUCAUAAAUUGUCACAUGACAACUUCUUCAAUAUUUCUAGUUAAGUUUCAUAAAUUCUUGAGAGACAAGAAAAAGGAAAUAAGUAUGAAAAAAGGGAAGAAAUUAAAUUUUGAUUCUAAUUGAAGAUUGCAAAUCUUGAUCGAAGAUUUUAUCUCUAGAAAGAUUUAUCUUUACUAAUAUUUAUCAGUUAAUAACAUCAUAAAAACAAAAGAUCAUUCUCCAAAUCAGAUAUGGAAAUUAAUAUUCUUUGAAGAAGAAAAGAGUAUAUGAUUUAUUUGAUUUAAUGCAAGUAUAAUCUUUCCAUGAAAUGUAUUUUCCUUUUUGUCUUGUAUUUGAUACCUAUAAUAAGGAGCAAAGAGAUUGCAAUAAGAUUAGAGAAUAGAUCAAUAGUCAGAAGUUUGCUUGCCACAUUAUAUGUUAGUGGUGUGAGACCACACAUUUUCUUCCAAUGAUAUGAUUUUAUCAUUCACAUGUAAGAUGCAUGGAGGCACGAUACUGUUAUCCUGGACUUCUUUUCUUGAGCCAAAGCUAGUCCUCUGGUACCUCCAUGCAUCUCACUUGUGGACGAAUUUAAGCGAUACUAAACUUUUGCAUCUGUGUUCUUUCUUACAUUCUACCAUUGAAAAAGUGUAUGAAAACUGUUAGGGAAUAUCUUAUGGCUGCUACCGCAUAGAAUUGUAGUCCCAUGAUCAGCUUUAGACCCACAGCGGAUGGUCACAUUGCAUAUGAUAAUUCUGUAUUUUUCAAAUCAUUAUUUCAAAGCUAUGACUACAAGGUAUAUAACCAUCUACAGUUUCUUAUUUAUUUAUGUCUGUAAUUUUUUUUAUUGUUUUUUGUUGAUACUAGAGACAUGAGUGAUUAGCGAGUGAAUCAACCACCACUGCUGGUCAUAUUUUCUGACCACCAGAACUACUUGACUAGAUCUCUUAUUUUUGUUGUUGUCAGCAUCAAAUUUGCACACAAGCAUGUGCAGCUCUCAUGCUAUAAAUUCAUUCCAGGUCUUUUUUAUGAUAAGAUAGUUCUAAUUUUCUAUGCUGCACUAAUUUUUUUGAGUUGCUCUGCUUUGAAGUUUUAUAUGUGGUGUGAUAUAGCCUGAGACUGGAAACACACCUAUGCUGUAAUUGGUGAACAGGUUUAAUGUUUUUCCAUUCGGCAUAUCUGUGCCAUGUGCCAAUUCAUAUCUGAUGUAAUAGAUACUUUUGAUACUCAUUGCAAUUUAGAUGUUUUUCUUCAAACCAAUGCUAAUCUGAAUGUUUUUUUUUAUCAUUUUGGCAGGAAACAAGUUAGCUCAUUAAAAUUAUUAUUGUUUCCUUAAUUACAUUGCCAAAUAAUUUAGUCAAAUAUAACAUUUUGUGGUUGUCUGCAGGCUUGCUUUAUUGACUUGGAUUUGGAGUCUCUUGAGAAGAUGGUUUAUUGCCAUGAAUUAUGAUCAGAAGGGAGUGAAUUUCUAUAAAAUGAUUGAGGAGAUUUAAGGAAAGUGUUACAUUCCUGGAGUGGAGGUCCAAUUGCAGAAGUAUUCAAUAUUAGUAUUAAAUUUUUCUCACAACUUGUAUCAUGUAUGUAAGAAGACAAGCUGCAAGUAUCCCUCCUAAAGAGAUUUGACAAAUUCUAGUUACCAUAUUUUAGGUUUUAGUAUUUCCUACUUGUCAACUUUUGUGUAAUUCUGUGGGAAACUGACCCAACAUGAUGCAUUUUCCUAAGGGAUCUGACCAACUCUAAUUUUACAAUGCUUAAAUCAUAUAAUAAAUGGUAAAUUGACUUCAUGUAUUGUCAUCCUACUAUUUAGCAGGAAGGAUCCAAUUGUAAAGUGCUGCUGCACUGUUGCAUCUUGUUAUUAUCAACGGGUUUGAUAUUUAACAUCACAUCUUGCUUGCUUGUUGGCUCCAGGAAGCAUACAUGACAGUGUUGCGUGAUUUGUGAUCCUGAAGUAGGAACAUCAAACUCGUAUAUUUUAGGCAACUUGCUACUUGCUUUAUGACAGGUUUGAAGUUGAUGUUUGCUGAAAGCA
rnacentral:lncRNA from 1 species